rnacentral:rRNA from 1 species
GACGAACGCUGGCGGCGUGCCUAAUACAUGCAAGUCGAACGCUUCUUUCCUCCCGAGUGCUUGCACUCAAUUGGAAAGAGGAGUGGCGGACGGGUGAGUAACACGUGGGUUACUUACCCAUCAGAGGGGGAUAACACUUGGAAACAGGUGCUAAUACCGCAUAACAGUUUAUGCCGCAUGGCAUAAGAGUGAAAGGCGCUUUCGGGUGUCGCUGAUGGAUGGACCCUCGGUGCAUUAGCUAGUUGGUGAGGUAACGGCUCACCAAGGCCACGAUGCAUAGCGGACCUGAGAGGGUGAUCGGCCACACUGGGACUGAGACACGGCCCAGACUCCUACGGGAGGAAGCAGUAGGGAAUCUUCGGCAAUGGACGAAAGUCUGACCGAGCAACGCCGCGUGAGUGAAGAAGGUUUUCGGAUCGUAAAACUCUGUUGUUAGGGAAGAACAAGGACGUUAGUAACUGAACGUCCCCUGACGGUAUCUAACCAGAAAGCCACGGCUAACUACGUG